rnacentral:rRNA from 1 species
AUAUUGGACAAUGGGCGAAAGCCUGAUCCAGCCAUGCCGCGUGUGUGAAGAAGGUCUUCGGAUUGUAAAGCACUUUAAGUUGGGAGGAAGGGUUGUAGAUUAAUACUCUGCAACUUUGACGUUACCGACAGAAUAAGCACCGGCUAACUCUGUGCCAGCAGCCGCGGUAAUACAGAGGGUGCAAGCGUUAAUCGGAAUUACUGGGCGUAAAGCGCGCGUAGGUGGUUAGUUAAGUUGGAUGUGAAGUCCCCGGGCUCAACCUGGGAACUGCAUUCAAAACUGACUGACUAGAGUAUGGUAGAGGGUGGUGGAAUUUCCUGUGUAGCGGUGAAAUGCGUAGAUAUAGGAAGGAACACCAGUGGCGAAGGCGACCACCUGGACUGAUACUGACACUGAGGUGCGAAAGCGUGGGGAGCAAACAG